GUCUAUGGCCAUACCAUCCUGAAUACGCCCGAUCUCAUCUGAUCUCAGAAGCUAAGCAGGGUCGGGUCUGGUUAGUACUUGGAUGGGAGAAAUGAAGAAUUCAAUAGAUC
rnacentral:rRNA from 1 species